AUGAAACAGAUGCUAGAAGACAAAAAUACAUAUGAAAUACUUAAAAAAGAUCCAACAGAAAACAUUAAGAAAAACAUGAAAAAAUUACUGAAGCCACUGCACGAAAAAGGCAAAAUAACAGAAAAAAUGUACAAACACUGGAUUCCCACAGCAAACAUAACACCAAGAAUAUAUGGAACACCAAAAAUACAUAAACAAAACACCCCACUUAGACCAAUAGUUGACAGCAUAGGUACACCAACAUACAACAUGGCAAAAGAUAUCAGCAGAAUCAUCAGCCCGUUAUUAGGAAAUACAGACCAACACUGCAAAAAUAGUAUAGAAUUGGCAAAAGAACUAAAGGAAAUUACAAUAGAAGACAACGACAUACUCAUCUCACAUGACGUCACAUCUCUGUUCACAAAAACACCAACCCAAAAAACCAUAGACAUAGUAGUUAACAGAAUCAGACAAGACAAAACUUUACAUAAAAGGACAAACCUCACAGCAGAUGACAUAGCACAACUGAUAGGACUGGUAGCUAACUCCACUUACUUCACAUACGACAACACAAUAUACAAACAACUGGAAGGCUUCGCCAUGGGUAACCCGUUAUCAGCCACCCUGUGCGAGUUUUUCAUGGAAGACCUGGAACAAAAAGCCAUAGCCACCGCCCCCCCAAACUGCAAAAUAAAACUAUGGAAACGCUACGUAGACGACAUACUGGAAAUCAUACCAAAAGGUCAAACAGAAACACUAACACAACACUUAAACAAUAUUGACGACACGGGCAACAUAAAAUUCACUUAUGAGUUAGAAACAGAAGGCAGCAUAGCAUUUAUGGACAUGAAAAUCACCAGGCAGACCGACGGGACCCUAAACAUAAACACAUACAGGAAACCAACACACACAGACCAAUAUCUAUUAUGGACAUCAGAACACCCCACCAUACACAAAAUGUCAGUAAUCAGAACAUUAUAUCACCGAGCAAACAUAAUAACAGAAGAGAGAGACCGUAAACAAGAGGACAAACACAUACAACACGCUUUAAAGACCUGCAGAUACCCGACAUGGGCAAUAAACAAAGGAAAACAACAAACAAAAACAGAAAGCAAAGAACAACCCAAAAAAAGAACCAGAAACCCAGAAAGACAAGAACCAAAACCAGUGAUAACCCUACCAUACAUCAGAGGCAUAACGGAAAAAAUAAGAGCAACAAUGAAAAAACACAACAUAAACACACCAACAAAGCCAUACACAACAGUUAGAAACAGAUUAGUACACCCAAAAGACAAAAUAUCAGCUGGACAAAAAUGUGGAGUCAUCUACGAAAUCCCAUGCAAAAUAUGCAAUAAAACAUACAUAGGAGAAACCGGACGCCAACUCAAUACACGGACAAUAGAACACAGAAAGGAGUGCGAGAAAGAGGCAAAUCGUAAACACACAAGAGCAGCAAAAGAAGAAGCAGAAAGUACAAUAAAAAAGUCAGCCGUAACAGAUCAUUGCUUAAGAGAAAACCAUAUAAUGGACUGGGACAGCACACGGAUCAUAACCACUGAACAACAAAAAUACAAAAGAUGGAUCAAGGAAGCAAUAGAGAUAAGGAGACGUGGAUGUGGGACCAUGAACAGGGACGACGGAGUUUACACGCUGGACCACACAUGGGACUGCAUCGUCGGAGAGGGGAGAGCGGGCAGUAGAGGGCGACAACGUCCUCUGCUGCCCGCAGAUAAACGGAGAAGGAAGUGA
ensembl:lncRNA